rnacentral:lncRNA from 1 species
UAUGAGCAGUAGGUUUAUGUCUUUUCUAAUUCAUAAAAUGCUCACCAGAAUGGGGUUUGGAUUGGAAAGGAAGAAGGGCAUCUCACUAUUUUCUUUCUUAAGCUUUUCUUCUUCAGCAACACAUUUGGUGGUCAAGUCAUUAACACUCCAGAUUUCAUUCAGAGUGUUAUAGACAGUUUUGAUCUGAGAGAGUUCAACAGAUAAAGAAUUCAAAGCAUGAGGCAUA